rnacentral:rRNA from 1 species
CCUACAGGAGGCUGCAGUGGGGAAUAUUGGACAAUGGGGGCAACCCUGAUCCAGCCAUGCCGCGUGUGUGAAGAAGGCCCUCGGGUUGUAAAGCACUUUCAGUGAGGAAGAACGCCUGGUGGUUAAUACCCAUCAGGAAAGACAUCACUCACAGAAGAAGCACCGGCUAACUCCGUGCCAGCAGCCGCGGUAAUACGGAGGGUGCGAGCGUUAAUCGGAAUUACUGGGCGUAAAGCGCGCGUAGGUGGCUUGAUAAGCCGGUUGUGAAAGCCCCGGGCUCAACCUGGGAACGGCAUCCGGAACUGUCAAGCUAGAGUGCAGGAGAGGAAGGUAGAAUUCCCGGUGUAGCGGUGAAAUGCGUAGAGAUCGGGAGGAAUACCAGUGGCGAAGGCGGCCUUCUGGACUGACACUGACACUGAGGUGCGAAAGCGUGGGUAGCAAACAGGAUUAGAUACCCGGGUAGUC